AUUGCAGCUUCCCAACAAAGCCUGAGCCAGACCUUCAUUGUUCUCAACUACUCCAUCCUCAUCUUUAUUCUUCAAUUUCCUAAAACGCAUGAAUACCUUUUUCAAUUUUUUUUUGCUAAAACACAUUCGUACGUAGCUCAGCCUACUAAGAAAAUAAACUAUAUAAGCUCCCCUCUAAACUUAUAUAUCGAUUGAGGAGGUUCGCCCUAAAACUCUCCUAGACACGAGAAUCGAGGAGCCGCCGCAAGUUCCACAUCUUGACGCCGGUGGUGCCUCUGGCCGCCGGCGUCGACAUCUAAGCUCUUAUGUGUUCCUCCAGCUCCACUACGAUGUAAUUUUCUACUGUUUUCUCGCUAAAAGCUUCAUCCACUCUCAUCUCUUUGGUGCCUCUUCGAGUUCAGAUCUGGCCGUGGAAAGACCCGACUCUACUCAUAAGAGUUCGUCGCAGGACAACCGUGGUAUCCCAUCACUGGUUUACGCCUCCUCGCCGGAUUUAUCUGCGAACUCACCGUCUUUCGCCGCCGCUUCUCCAGAUACAUCGCUGUCUUUCGCUUCUCACCAUUACCAAGAAGUUACCAAAGCUCUCCUCUGUGAGACCUUCCCUGAAACCGGUUUUGCUCGUGGUGCGACUUUGGAUUUUCUAGAUUCUCUGGACCUUCAAACCUUCUCGCUUGGUCAGUGCUCGGUCUCUCCCAUGCCAUUUCUCCUUCAUCUGGGCUGAAUCUGCUUCCUUUCCGGCUGUUAUCCGGCUUCCUUUGUUCUCCUUUGGGAAGAUUAUGAUUAUUUAGUCUAUCUCCCGCUUGUAGCCCAAGUUUAUUGCGUUUCUCUGGCUGGUAAUAGAUCGAGCAGUCUCUUUGGACGAACUCCUAAACCUCUGUUAAUUACAACUGCAAUUCGUUUUGCCUUGGUAGUUCUCAAGUUUACCGUCUCUAGUUGGUCGUGUUUGUGUUU